rnacentral:lncRNA from 1 species
CAUGGAUGAUAAAUCUAUUGCUGUAGCUGGGAACAUUGUUCAUCAGGUCUUUCCCUGAAAAAAGCUACAUUUUGAUCUGUGUCACCAGAUUACCACUCCAACUUUGCACAUCCUGAUGCUCAAAAGUUACAUCGCAUUCACAGAAGGGAAAUCUCGAUCUCUGCUUACUGUAGUUUUAUGUCUGCAAAGUGCAGAAAACAGGCAAAGUGUUGACCACAGAUCAGAGCAGAGCAGGGAAAGUGUCCUCUUUCCACUGACACAACACACAGAGAGAGAGAGAGAGAGAGAGAGAGAGAGAGAUCAAUGGUCGGUGGAUCAGCAGCUGAAUAGGAGCAGAAGCUGCUCUGGAGUCCAAUAAUGGCGAUGAAACAAAAGGAAGUAGGAGACAUGCUACUGUGCUAAGAGGUGGGAUUCGUUAGAGGCCAUUCUGACAGCUUUCUUAAAUGAGCUCCCAAAGCACACUGCAUCUCUUCUUAUAAAACAAGAGGAAGAACAGUUCAUUUCAGUCUCCCAUUAUUCUGUGAAGUUCCAAACUACAAUUCACCAAACUGUUCACAUCUCCUCCACUAAAACUACAAUAACUUGACCUUUAGCAACUUUUCUACUUUAAGUUCUUCUAAUUCUAAGAGAGAAAAGAAAAGAUAGAUCAUGAAUCCUGCUAAUAACUCAACCACACCAGAUCCAACAAACCACAUACUCUGACAGUGCAUCAUUAAAACCAGUUUAUGGUAUAUAAAGGACAUCUGGUUAGCAGCAUUCCCGAGUGCGACUACGCAGAUCUCCGACCUCUCCUCUUUUCCUCCUCUCUCUUCUGAAACCCAGAGCUGGUCGUCUUCCCCGACCGCUUCAUGGCCUCAGAUGCUGCUGCAGCCAUUUUAGCCCUCCUCCUGCUCAUGACAUACUCUUCCGAGAUGUACACAUCCAUGGCGACGAGGAAGGAGACAGUGCUGUAGUGCUUAUAUGGAGCCGAGAAGCCUGGAAUCCAGUGGGCUUUAGUCCC